rfam:Cucumis melo, WGS project CAJI01000000 data, contig: 12773
GGCUCAUUAGCUCAGUUGGUUAGAGCGUUGUGCUAAUAAUGCGAAGAUCGCAGGUUUGAAACCUGCAUGGGCCA